UACGUAGGGGCAAGCGUUGUCCGGAAUCAUUGGGCGUAAAGCGCACGUAGGCGGCUUAGCAAGUCGGAUGUGAAUCCCUCGGCUUAACCAAGGAAGUGCAUCCGAAACUGCUGAGCUUGAGUACGAAAGAGGAUCGCGGAAUUCCCGGUGUAGAGGUGAAAUUCGUAGAUAUCGGGAGGAACACCAGUGGCGAAGGCGGCGAUCUGGGUCGAUACUGACGCUGAGGUGCGAAAGCGUGGGGAGCAAACAGGG
rnacentral:rRNA from 1 species